rnacentral:rRNA from 1 species
AGUGAACGCUGGCGGUAGGCCUAACACAUGCAAGUCGAACGGCAGCACAGUAAGAGCUUGCUCUUACGGGUGGCGAGUGGCGGACGGGUGAGGAAUACAUCGGAAUCUACUUUUUCGUGGGGGAUAACGUAGGGAAACUUACGCUAAUACCGCAUACGACCUACGGGUGAAAGCAGGGGAUCUUCGGACCUUGCGCGAUUGAACGAGCCGAUGUCGGAUUAGCUAGUUGGCGGGGUAAAGGCCCACCAAGGCGACGAUCCGUAGCUGUUCUGAGAGGAUGAUCAGCCACACUGGAACUGAGACGCGGUCCAGACUCCUACGGGAGGCAACAGUGGGGAAUAUUGGACAAUAGGCGCAAGCCUGAUCCAGCCAUACCGCGUGAGUGAAGAAGGCCUUCGGGUUGUAAAGCCCUUUUGUUAGGAAAGAAAAGCAGCAGGUUAAUACCCCGCUGUUCUGACGGUAGCCAAAGAAUAAGCACCGGCUAACUUCGUG